CAAUAGCGUAUAUUAAAGUUGUUGCAGUUAAAAAGCUCGUAGUUGGAUUUGUGGUGUACUUCGGCGGCCCGUCACUAUGUGAUGGAGCUUGCUGAAGUCGCCAUCCUUGGGUGGAUCCUGUGUGGCAUUAAGUUGUCGUGCAGGGGAUGCCCAUCGUUUACUGUGAAAAAAUUAGAGUGUUCAAAGCAGACUUAUGCCGUUGAAUAUAUUAGCAUGGAAUAAUAAGAUAGGACCUUGGUACUAUUUUGUUGGUUUGCGCACCAAGGUAAUGAUUAAUAGGGACAGUUGGGGGUAUUCGUAUUUCAUUGUCAGAGGUGAAAUUCUUGGAUUUUUGAAAGACGAACUACUGCGAAAGCAUUUACCAAGGAUGUUUUCAUUAA
rnacentral:rRNA from 1 species